AUACGUAGGGUGCAAGCGUUAAUCGGAAUUACUGGGCGUAAAGCGUGCGCAGGCGGUUUUGUAAGACAGUGGUGAAAUCCCCGGGCUCAACCUGGGAACUGCCAUUGUGACUGCAAGGCUGGAGUGCGGCAGAGGGGGAUGGAAUUCCGCGUGUAGCAGUGAAAUGCGUAGAUAUGCGGGGGAACACCGAUGGCGAAGGCAAGCCCCUGGGCCUGCACUGACGCGCAUGCACGAAAGCGUGGGGAGCAAACAGGAUUAGAUACCCUGGUAGUCCACUCCCUAAACGAUGUCAACUGGUUGUUGGGGAUUUAUUUUCUCAGUAACGAAGCUAACGCGUGAAGUUGACCGCCUGGGGAGUACGGCCGCAAGGUUAAAACUCAAAGGAAUUGACGGGG
rnacentral:rRNA from 1 species